GUCACUCACAGGUCUUUAAUACGUAAUGUUUAGGUUAUUAAUAAACUAACACAGGUCCGUUUUUUACAGGGAACAACUGCGAAUACAGCCAUAAAAAAAUUAGUACAAGUUGAACAUUUGCAAAGCUCUGGAGCACGGGCAGGGCCGGGCUGCUCUCGCCACCAACUUCCCCCGAGUUUCUCUCCCUUUGCAGGCCGGGGAGGGACGAGCAUUGCUGGGCAGGCAGAGGAGCUGGGACACGGUGGGGGUCCUGUUCCCAACCCGGCGCCUCACCCCCCGUGGGCCAGGGAUCCAGCGCUGGGAACACAGGAGUGGCCUGCAGUGGCACACAACGGAAUGCCACCUUGUUUGGUACCUGGGCACAGGCUGAGGCACUGCAGGGAAGAGAAGGGUGGGUGAGAGCCGAGGGGAUAUUCACCCCUGUGCUGGAUCAGGGAUCUGCUGCUCUGGAGCAGGGGUCCAUUCACUGACGUGUAGAGUUAUUUUGGGGGAAAUAAUCACAACAGAAAAGAUAGUAAGGAACCAGAAAACCUGGAGGGGAAAGAAGGAAAGAGAAGGAGAGAAGGAGAGAAGGAAAGAAGGAGAGAAGGAGAGAAGGAAAGAAGGAAAGAAGGAAGAGGACGAAAGAAAAAGGAAAGAAGAAGGAAAGAAGGAGAAUACAGGUGCCCUGCUGUGCCCAUGGCCUGGCUGGGCUGACAGGAUUAUGGGGGACACAAACUGGGAGGUUUUACAAGGUGGACCCUGAGAGUGUCGAGGGCUCGGGCUGGACUAAGGCACCGCUGAGCCUAAGAGUGGCUUUUGGGAGCUCGCCACCCCUGGAGCAGCUCCUGGGUGUGGGUGAACGUGACUGUGAGUGCAGAGUGAGCGCGAGCACAAGCGGGUGCUCAGGAUGAUGCUCUCCUUCUUCCCUUCUCCCUGCAAAUCCACCAGCUCCUCAGCAGAGCAACUCCGAAUUCCCAUUGCACGGCAGCACGUUGCGAGCCGGGGUGCUGUCCCACCCUGCCCCGGCUCGGGGACAGCCAGGGAACACUCUCCUCACUCCACCAUGUCCACAGCAAACCCCGUGUGUGCCAAGAGCCUCGGGGGUGUCCCGGGCCCGGCCGGGGGCACCGCCUGCAGAGCAGCUCCGCGUCCAUGCAUACUAAGCAAAGCAAGGAAUACAUAGAUUUUGCCUAUCUGCCGAUCAAACGCGGAGAUCUGCUCUGGUAAAUGAUGCAUUAGAUGCGGUGGCUGUAUUUGUUGUGUGAGUUUUGAAAGGGUUCCGAUAAUCUGGAAGCGAGAGAUAAGGAACACCAUUUAUUCAGCAGCACUUUGGAACCAAUUUUCAACCCUGUUCAACCCCAUUCUCCAGCAGCCUCCAGGAGCCCAGGAGAUAAGGAUUGGGCUAUUCAUUAUCUUCACAAGGAACAAAGAUUAGCUAGCAGAGAUGAAAAAUUACCCCUGGAUAGUAAUAAUAAGGAAGCGAACCUGGAGAGCUGCUGAGCCUAUAUUCUCCUUGCUGCUGGUGCUGCUUCUUCUCUUUUAAAUUCUCUCUUUUUUUUUUUGUUGAAUCAAUAUUGAAAAGGUUGGGGGUUUUUUUCUUUUUAAUUUUUUUCCUCCCUUUUUUUCGGGG
rnacentral:lncRNA from 1 species